CAGUCCCUUCCCUGAAGGUCUUCCCUGAUGAUCUAAAACAAGAAGAAGCUGAUGGAGACGAACUAAAAUAGGCCUUGCAGGGACUGAUGUGCAACUAAUUAAAGGCAGACAGGCUGGUAGCGUCUUGCACACUCAAGCCCCCCCAAAUAAAGAGCCUGCUGCGGCAGCUCCCGUGAGGAUGCCGGAGGAACGGCUGCCCGGCCAAGCACCGACCGCGGGGAUGCGUCCGGAGAAGGAGGAUUA